rnacentral:sRNA from 1 species
GGGACCUAUUCCAUUUCUGUCCUUCGGCGGACAAGGCGCUCUUUUUACUAUUGUCUCUGUGAUACGCACCGUCCACAGACAGCAAAUGGCUCUAUGGACAGUGAUACAUAGAAUGACAGAAUCUACUCUUACACUUCAACAUCCAUAUGCAAAAGCCCCUUACAUAUCCUCCCAAUCAUCGUCACCUUCACCAUUUACCGCAACUUUCUCGGCAUUGCCACCUAUCGAUCCAGGGCCGGCACCACCCGACCCUAACUUUCCACUCUGCCCACCAUCAUUUGCCGGCGGCACAUAAUUCUCAACUCGUUCCUCCACCACAUAUUCUGCUUCAAUAACUUUUUGUCUGAUGACAGAAGCUUCAGAUUCCAAGUACCGAGAUGUAGUAUAGGCAAUAGAGAGAACGAGCAUGAGCGGAAUCACGACGGAUCGGACUAAGAUGGAACUGUCAGCAGCAGCUCGACCAAUGUUGUUCCGACGACGUGCGGAGCAACUAGGAGAAUCACGCUUGGAAUGAGAACAAGACGUGCGAGUCGGGUAGUAGAUUUGAAGUCCUUGGCUGCCGGCUCUCGGAAACGCUACCAGUAAGCGCCUGUACGGCGUGCUCGAGGUAACAAACCUACAACACCAACGAUGACUGAACAGAAUGCAGUGCCCAUAGCCCUACAAUUUCAUCAUCAGCUCGAUUCUUUCACAAUCAGGGUAGUGGAAUUUACCAAGCGUCCCAAACAUGGAUAACUCUCCCCACAUUGUUCCUGCUCGACCAAAGACCACCCAGAUAGACAUCAAUAACCAUUCCAACCAAAGCGGGGACAAUCGCGUAGAAGGUGAUAACACCGUAUAUUCCGGCAACCCAUCGAAGAACGCCGCGCUUGACUCGCUUGGAAAAGACGGAUGCACGAAGACGUUCGGCACGGUUGAGGUUGGUAAUGUACUUGCGUGCGCGGCGACCGAGGGUAAGGGAAAAAUAGAGGAUGUAUGCUCCCGCAAACUGUUACAACUUUGCUCAGUAUCUCAAAUCUCUUAAUGCGAAGUAGAUUCAAUGCGACUUACCCAACUGUAUCCAUCAUGCACGUCCAUUCCCAACGUUUUCCACAUCAUACGGCCUACGGCCAAGGGCAUGAAAGCAGCCAAAGCAAUCACGAUUGACAUGCUUGCCAAUGCACUAGCAACAAACAUAUGUAUCCUGGUUCUCCAAUACUUGGGCAGCCAGACAACUGUAUAGUCACUUGUCGGCAAUCUUCCAGCUUCCCGGGCAAUCUUGUCCUGUUUGAGAAGACGAAGCUUAUCUGCGCGGUUGUAAGGAAUACCAGACCCAUCAAGAGGGACAAAGACGCCGCCCUCCUUACGUCGCUGUUCAAUGGGCAUGAGUACCACAGAAUCACUGGCAGAUCCAAUCGCAGAUGGGCCAUAGGGCAUUUUCAAGCUUGGUGGGAGCUUCAGAACGUUCGUUCUCGUUGGGAACGGGUGCAACGAGGUUGGUAAGACGAUAACGGGUGGUAACAGCUCGCCACCAUUGGGUGAACAAUCGGCGAGCACGGGACUGAGGGCGGACGAGGUCGAUAGUAGGCGGGAUGGCGAGAUGAAGGAAGAGGAGGUCAAAAGGGACCGAUGUGAUCGGACCGCUGUACAGAAGGAUUAGCUUCUGUUCUGUUUUAAAAGUAGACAGUAGAGCAUACAACGUCGGCUCCACCUUCAGGGGUAAAAAACCUCCAGGGACAUAAGCCAAUCCCCAAGAAACUACACCAAAGAGACUGAACACCACCGCACUGUACAUGAUGACAGAUGAACCGAGCUAAUUUCUUGUCAGCUUACGUUUGUCGUUUAGAGUCAUCUGAAUAUCUUACCUUUCUGAGUUGAUGUAAAGUCGUCUUAUCCACGAUGUCCU